rnacentral:rRNA from 1 species
AUGGAGACCUUAGCCACUACUAGGUCGAGAAAGGGGGCCGUUGAGGGGUCCAUACAUUUCUUUUUUAAUUGUUUUUGGUAUAUUAAUAUAAUUCCAUGGGUUAGGGUUCGCAACAUUCCCAUAGAGAAAAGAUGCACUGAACAUAUAGCUUAUGCUGGAGCUCUAGUUGGGAUUACUUUAGAAGUUGAUGAAUCGACCGUUCAUAAACCUGAAUAUGCUAGAAUCCUUCUCGGUUGUAGAGAGGUUGAGAAAAUUCCCCCUUCAGCUGAAGGAAUGCUGGGAGAACAGUAUUAUGAUUUUUUCUAUGAAGUUGAAAAAGUUGUGACUGUGGGUGCUGAGAAAAGUCAGUCCUAUACUGCUGUGGAUAGCAGUGCAUCUCCUUCCUUCCCCAAGAAAGUGAGGAUGGACUCAUAUCCUGCUUCUUCCAUGGGGCAGGGGGAGACGAAUACAUCCGUGACUGGUAAUUUUUCCUCUCAGAACUAUGGUAAGGGUAUGCAGAGGCUUCCGGCAGUGGCUGAGAGUGAAGAAGAAGAUGAGAGUGAGGAAGGUAACAACACAGAGCUUCUGAAAAAAUGUUUCUGA